rnacentral:rRNA from 1 species
AAUUUACAAUGAAGAGUUUGAUCCUGGCUCAGGAUGAACGCUAGCGAUAGGCCUAACACAUGCAAGUCGAGG